GGCUCGUUCGGGGUGCACAACGGUUGCGCCAAAAACGGUCCAAAAAUGGCCAAGGCUUUACCAUACGAAAAAUCGUCCGAUUUUUAGCCAUGAGAAAAACGACCCAAAAAUUCACAGAUAACUACUAGACGGCCUCACUUUGAGUAAUAUUAAAGUUUUUUCCCACAAAAACCGCUCGGAGAUGCCCAGACUCAGUUUUUAUUUUCGUC
rnacentral:lncRNA from 1 species